CAGAGAUGCCUAAGAAAUUUGUUAACCAAUUUAUAUGUGUCCUCCAAGAGUGUGGGUUGAUGAUCGUUGCAAGUUUCUGGUCUUUCUCAAGAAGUAUGUCUUCGGGGCGGUGGAGAGUCAAUACAUGAUUAAGUUCACUAGGUAUACAUCUGUUGCAUGGUGGGAGGGUCUAGAAGCAGAAUGUCCUUUCUGCACCUAUGCAUUGACUCCAAUUAAUCAGCUCCCAAGGUCUACAAACAUGCCUGAGCGUUUCACAGUUUUCUUCCUUUUUUCAUGUUGGAAUCAGUGACAAUACCUUGCCGGGGUGGGUACCAGGAGAUGAGUCUCGUGGCGGUGAGCGGAAUGGAGACAAGGAUGGCGACUUGAUGCUUCUCAGAGACCUCCUCUGGAGGUGAAUUUUCUGGGCCUUUUGUUUGCUAUUUCACAGAGUUGUAUCUGCAUGCUCAUGUUGUUCUUCAGCUUAUGUCAUGUAGUUUAGGUUCAUAUAUACACUACUUAAUUAGGUUCAGGAGAUGGUUCGCUGUUGGACGUGUGCUAUGGGAUGUUUUGGUGGUCUGAUGCUUUUAGCCACCGCUCUCGUUCAGGAGGUGCUCCUUUAUCUUGACCAUGACUCUGAUUUUUAGUUAGACACCAUGUUUGCAGAUUCAGUUCCAAAGUCAGGGUACUGUUUUUUAUUUUUUGUAAGCAUUAGUGAGCUGAAAUAUGUAGAGUUUGGAUUGGGGAUAUAAGCAUUGUUAAACUAAAGAAGCCUUUCCAUGCUCAGCAUUAUUGGCGACCUCUCUAAUUUGGAGUUGUGAACCAAUGGGAGAUUCAUCGUUUAAUAUUAUUCUUUAAUCACUAAAUCAUAUAGGAGAUUCCUUUGCUGCCCCAUUAACCAAAUAUUAGUGUUACUAAAAAACUGACAAAAUGUUAUUCUGGUUGCGACUGAGCCCUACUGAGGCAAGGUCGCCCCUUUUAACCGCUUACAUCCUCAAUAGGUGAGUCCCUGGCACCCCUCUCUCUAUUGAUUGAUCCAUAUAUCGCCAGGAAAGAAUGGCUAUCAGUUCAACUACUAUUGGACUAUGAAUUAUUGUUUUUUUAGGGAAAUUAAUUACUCCUUGGAGAAUCAUAGAUCCAUGUUCUAUUUUUGUCAUGUAAGUUAGGUUAUAACUAUGUAGUUACAACCACAUAUUCAGAGUUGCAAUAAAAAACAAUUAAUAAUAGAAACAAGUCAAUUAUGCGACUCGGUUGCGUCUUUCCGCAUAUCAAUCUUGGUUUAGGUCAUUUAUUAUUUGAUCCAGUGAUUGUGUUGAUGGCUUAGUUUCUAUUUCUUCAGAAAGGCACAAAUAGGAUCAACCCUAUCCAAUUAAAGUUUAAUCACCUCACAUAUACAUGCUUUUUUUGAAUAUAUAUAGUUGUAUUCAAUUUGGCUAGGAUGUAAUCCCAGUGCUGCUAAAGUUAUUCCCCAAGAAAUCACAUAUUUGCAGUGUUCUUUUUGAAGAAAUGUCUUCCUGCACAAUACUAUGUAUGGCUAGCUGCUAGCUGUUGAUAUAUAUUGAUUUCUGUCAAAGAGAUUGCAGUUAUAUAAACCUUAAUUAGACAUCUUUGAAGGGAGUUUAGCCAUUCCAUAUUUCUCUUUUGGGCAUGUGUUGGCAUGAGAUUAGUACCAGCGACUGUGGUGGCUUACAUGAGAAGUGUUACAUGUCUUGGCAUGGUUUUAUAUAAGCCAGUAACACCGUUUUAUUUUCUGUCUGUCAUGAUUUAUCAGUUUGGUUGUUAUAAAUCUGUUUUUCAUCAAGCUCAUAUCACUGUUUAUUUGAAUUCCUUGCAUUUGUGAUUAGUUGACGGUAUAAGCCUUAUUUAUCAAGUGAAUUUGUAGACUGAUGUACUUGCAGACUAAUAAUAGUAUUGACAUUUGCUUACUAACUAAUGUCUCUGUAGCAGGCUAAUUUGUGUGUUUUUGGUUGUGGCAGACCAUUUUUAGUCAAAUUGAGAAACAACCGCCUUUUUGUCUUGGCCCAUAACCAGCCGUGAAAGACGAGAUGUUUAUGCUGCCCUUCUACCUUCCUCCUUGUCCCUAUUUUUCCCCAUCGCGUGUUGCGCUCUCUGAAGUAAAAUAAACAGGAAACUGUAUGCUGAAAAGUGGGGUGAUAAAUAUCUAGUUACUAGAUUAACUAAAUUUGUGAUCCCAAUAUUGUGAGCAAAAUAGUGAAAUGUCAGGGUUUGCUCUACUGCAAAUUUGCAGUUUACUUGAACUUUGUUGUGAUGAGCAAUUCUGGUCUGACCAAACUAAUAAAUGCAUGUGCUUUCCAUGUUUUGUUCCCAGUAAGAAGUUGAUUCUGUAUUUUAUGUAUUUGUUGUGAGCUACUUUUAACUCUGAUAAAGAAUGUACAUUGUAUUGUUACUUGCUGGUGUUCUUACAUCUUUCAUCUGAUGCUUUAUUACCUGGUUGGGAGUGAUCGCACCCGCGGGUGUGCGAGA
rnacentral:rRNA from 1 species